GUAAGUUUAAUUUUUUUUUUUGGAGUCUUUUGUUUUGGAUGGACAUGCAGCGUGAGGGGUUCUUUGGUCUUUUAUGGUCAUAGACACGUGCACGUGGGUUGUUUUAAAACCCUAGCUAACUUUUUGAGCUUUCGUCCCUUCCCAGCCCCCUUUCAUUCGUCCCCCAACCUGAUUCCAACAAGAUCAACUCAUCUCUCACAGCCGAUUUCCCCACCCCUCCCACUUGCAGUGCCGAUUUCACUACGCCCUCCCUCUCACGCAGUCUUCUCUUUAAAUGGGUUGUGCCGUUGAAGUAACGGGCCGGAAACUCCACUAAAGAUGGCUUGUUAGUAUUUUUUCGUUUUGAAACUUGUUAGUAUUUUUUUUUUUUUUUGUAGGGCUAGGGUUUCUCAGCUAAGAAAUCAGCAAUCCUGGAAUUAGCCAUGGAUAUGUAUUAGAGGGUCGAAAAAUACAAGCCCGAGUCUCAGAUAUGUUUUGCUUCUUCUUAUUACUGUUUGGCUCUUGGAAUUAUAUAAAUAUUUAUUUAAUUUCUAGAGUUGUGGGUUUAUGAGUGACUCCUAUAAAUUGAGCAUGUUGUUUGAUCUGGUUUGACUGUGAUUACUUCAUCUAGUUUGAUUGUGAUUAGUUCAUCUGGUUUUUUUUAAUUAUGGGGUUUUAUUUAUUUAUUUGGGUAUGUUAUAUGCUGUUGGCUCUUGGAAUUAUAUGGCUUCUUGGGUUAAAUGGAUUAGGGUCUGUCUUGGGUUUUGGGUCUGUGAUUAGUUCAUCUGGUUUAACUGCUGUUCCAUUUUUUUUUUUGUAGUUUUUUUUUAAUUUUUUUAAUUUCCAAUGACACAACAUCAUACUACUUCACACUACUUUUCUAUUCUUAACCUAUUCACUAUCAAGAUAGCCAACAAAAACAUAAUACAUUAUUAUUGGAACACAUUUUUAUUUUUAGAUCCUCACCCUAGAAUGUUUAUCUAAUUCUGUUUUUGCUCCUAGCUUUAGAUAUAUCACUGACAAAACAUCACAUUUUUCUUUUCUUAACUUAUUCACUGUCAAGAUAGCUCACAAAAGAAAGAGUACACUUUUAUUUUUAGAUCUUUGAUAAAUACAUUAUUAUUGGAACACAUUUUUAUUUUUAGAUCCUCACCCUAGGAUGUUUAUCUAAUUCUGUUUUUGCUCCUAGCUUUAGAUAUAUCACUGACAAAACAUCACAUUUUUCUUUUCUUAACCUAUUCACUGUCAAGAUAGCUCACAAAAGAAAGAGUACACUUUUAUUUUUAGAUCUUUGAUAAAUCUGACAAUAGCAAAUGAAAGGGAUCGAAAAGUGGAAGAUAACAAAAUAAGUAAACCACAAGAUAGACUUACAAAGAUAAAAAUCAGAAAUGUAAAACUCUGAAAGUCCCCAACCAAGAAAACCUGAAAAGAAAUCACCAUUAGAAACGAACAGAAAACAUUAAGCACUGCAGGAAACAAUGAAAAAGAAGAAGAAGAAAGAAAUGCUAGUAGGGUAAGGUAACAAUGAAAGAAAGAAGAAAGAAAAGCUAGUAGGGUAAAGAAAAUAACCCAAGAACUAAAUGUGCAGCUCUGAAAGAAAGCACCAAACGACAUAAGCAGGGUGAACAAAAAUGAUCUUCAUAGACCCUUUUAAGGUGCAAUGGCUUCCUGAACUAUCCUCCUAGGAACUCCCAUCGCAUGCAGCAGACCACUGCAAAACCAAUCAACCCACUGGAAAACCACUGCAUAUGCAGCAUCAGACCACUGCAUAUGCAUUUUUUAUUUCUUGCGUUUUAUUUGUAGAAAACUGGCAGCAUCAGACCACUGUAUAUGCAUUUUUUAUUUCUUGCAUUUUAUUUAUCAGGAUUAACUAUAUAUUUUUUUAAAAAAAAUUUCCUGCAGUAAUGAAUGCAGUUUUAUUUAUUCACUUAUAUGUAGAUGUAGAACUGACCUCCUAAGGCAUGCCAUCAUAUGGAUCUUUAUCCUGAUUAACUAUACUUUUUAAUGUUUUUAUAAUUCUUUAUUUCUUGCAUUUUUAUUUAUCAGGAUUAAAUAUUUGUGAUUUUUUCAUAUGGGACUUGUUUUUUCUUCUUAGGUAGUGAGCACUGUUUUCUUUGUUGUGAUUAAUCAUAUGAGAUUUGUUUUUCUUUUACACACUGAGCAAUUUUUUCUUCUUUAUCCUGAACGGGCAGGAUUUUUUUAUUUGUUUUUAAGAUUUUAAUUAUUUUUUUUUAUCCAGAUUAAGAAUAUUUUUUUUAAUGAUUUUUGUGAUUCCAUAUGUUACAGAUGUAAAAGUCACAAUUACCUAUACGCAUGCAAAACUCACAAUUAACUACAGCCAUGCACUGACCAACUGAAGGAGGUUCUAUACGCAUGCACUGAUAAGUGACAAGAGGGGACAAGAGCAGGCCUUGGUACCAAUGCAACCGGCGUAUUUAGACUGCACAACCAAUGAAUUUAAAGACUUUUGCACGGAUGAAAUGCACAAAUUGAAGCAAAGAGUGAAGACAUAAAACACGGAAACGGAAUGGGAUUGCACUGUUCAUUACUGUAGCAGAAGCAUAGAUGCUUUUUAUUAUAGAUAGAUAUAUAUAAAUAUAUACAAGUUGCGCGCUUCUCCUACAAUGACCCGUGAGACCAAGCCAUAUAUAUAUGCGUGCAGUACCUACUAAUUAAUCACAACCAAAAUAUCUGUCUACCUUAAUUUGUUGAUAGUUGGGCACCCAUCUAGCAAUCCAAGCAUAUUAUAUUAAUACAAUUUGUUUAAGAAGCUAGCACAACAAUAUCUUCAAUGCUUACACACUAUUGGGUUUGAUUUUUAGAUGGAUAUAAAAUACUAAUUUCUAUGCAUCGGAUCUCCAAUUUUACAGGAGGAUGGUUGCUUGUUUUUUCUCAUGCUGGAAACAUGUACGAUCCAAACUACAGGCCUAAAAUUCAGCCAUGAUAAUCUGUUUGUUAGGCUGAUCUUUUGAAUUCCUUCAGGUCUGUAUAUCUUAUAUAUAUGUUGGCCGGAGAUUCUGCAAAUAUGUUUGGCUGUCUCCAGGAUUUGUACGUGUGCAAUGUUAAAGUGGAGAAAAUAAGAUGCUUUGGUUUUUGUUGCA